CGCUGGCGGUGCGCCUUAUGCAUGCAAGUCGAGCGAAGCUUUUCAGUAGUUUACUACAGAAAAUGACUGAGCGGCGAACGGGUGAGUAACGCGUGAGCAAUCUACCUUAGUUACAGGGAUAGCCCGAGGAAACUCGGAUUAAUACCUGAUAUUCUUUAUAUUUCGCAUGAAAUUAAAAGGAAAGGUCAGCCGAACUAAGAUGAGCUCGCGUUCUAUCAGCUAGUUGGUGAGGUAAAAGCUCACCAAGGCUACGACGGAUAGCUGGUCUGAGAGGACGAUCAGCCACACUGGGACUGAGACACGGCCCAGACUCCUACGGGAGGCUGCAGCAGGGAAUAUUGCGCAAUGAGCGAAAGCUUGACGCAGCGACACCGCGUGUGGGAUGACGGAUCUAGGUUUGUAAACCACUUUCAGGAGGGAAGAAAAUGACGGUACCUCCACAAGAAGCCCCGGCCAACUACGUGCCAGCAGCCGCGGUAAUACGUANGGGGCGAGCGUUGUCCGGAUUUAUUGGGCGUAAAGAGCUCGUAGGCGGUUCAACAAGUCGGUCGUGAAAGUUCAGGGCUCAACCCUGAAAUGUCGAUCGAUACUGUUGUGAC
rnacentral:rRNA from 1 species